GCGGAAAUGUCUGGGCUCAAAUUCCAGUUGAUCAGAAAGCAAUAGGCAUUAAGAACAAUUAAUCCAGAAGGGAUCUAUCAACCAAUACUCAAUCACCUAGCAUACUGAGAAUUCUACACUACUCUAACCCAUCCUCAGAAACCUAUUCACUACUCAGACAUCAUAACAGAAAGCAUAAACGUUGAACAAAUUGAAAACAUGAUAACAACAAUGUAACAGCAGGAUGAUAACAGAAUGAACAACAGUAAACGAAAUCAAGAACAGGAACUGAAUACUGAAUACUGAAUAGAUAAAGAGAAAUCCGGAUUACAAAAAGUCUAGAACACAAGGUCUGCGGAAAUAAAAUUAGAUAAAAAACUUCUUGUCUGCGAAAAUGAGAAGUACAUGCUACUUAUAGCCAAAUAUCCCGAAAACCCUAAUACUCAAAACAACGAAGUAUUGGGACAGGUUAAGAACUGUACUCGACCCACGUGGUCGAGUGAGAGGUCGAGUGAAUAGCUGGAGCCUUCUUGUUUUCCUUGUGCUCGUGUGUCUGGUUGAGUGCGGAAUGAAGAAGGAUCUGAAGCUUGUCACCGAGUAUGCAGUCGAGUGGUGUCAGAAGAUACUCGACUUCCAGGUUGAGUGACGAGGUCGAGUGGUGGUCUGAUGAUAGAGGUGAAGACACUCGACCUCAUGGUCGAGUGAAGUGAUCGAGUGAUGGUCUGGUGAUGGAGAUGAGGGCACUCGACCUCGGGGUCGAGUGGUGAAGUGAAGUGGUGAUGUCCUCUACUCGACCUGGUGGUCGAGUGGUCUCUUGAGAUCUUGAAGCUCCUACUCGACCUCUGGGUCGAGUGGUUUGGCAUGAUCAGGUCCGCUUCUUCCAGAUAGCUCGUCAACAGCUCCAAAUCACCUGAAAUCAACGCAAAUAUGUAACAUGCAUGCAAAACUAUCCUAAACAUGCAAAGUGAUGACAAAUGAUGUGAAAUGGUAUAAAACAGUGAUGAUAUGAUGAUAAAGUGAUGACAAAUGGAUGCUCAAAACAUGCAAAAUACACACUUAUCAACUCCCCCAAACUUAGUCUUUGCUUGCCCUCAAGCAAACAAUCAAGAACAAGCUGGAGGUGAGGUUUGAAAGCGGGGACUCAGAGCCAAAGCACCAGAUAGACCAGAUGAAAUCAAUGUCCAAGUUGAAAGUUCUAAGCUGCAAGAUCGAAUUCUACUUAAAAACGUUAGCCAUGCCUCAUCAAUCAAUCAAUCCGACUCAUAUGCUCGACCUACACAAGUUUUCAAAUCUACCAAUCCCUUUAACAUUG
rnacentral:sRNA from 1 species